UGUAGUUUAGUGGUAAGAAGUCCACGUUGUGGCGGUGGAGACCUGGGCUCAAAUCCCAGCA
rnacentral:tRNA from 1 species